rnacentral:rRNA from 1 species
AUUGAACGCUGGCGGCAUGCCUUACACAUGCAAGUCGAACGGCAGCACGGGUGCUUGCACCUGGUGGCGAGUGGCGAACGGGUGAGUAAUACAUCGGAACAUGUCCUGUAGUGGGGGAUAGCCCGGCGAAAGCCGGAUUAAUACCGCAUACGAUCUACGGAUGAAAGCGGGGGACCUUCGGGCCUCGCGCUAUAGGGUUGGCCGAUGGCUGAUUAGCUAGUUGGUGGGGUAAAGGCCUACCAAGGCGACGAUCAGUAGCUGGUCUGAGAGGACGACCAGCCACACUGGGACUGAGACACGGCCCAGACUCCUACGGGAGGCAGCAGUGGGGAAUUUUGGACAAUGGGCGAAAGCCUGAUCCAGCAAUGCCGCGUGUGUGAAGAAGGCCUGCGGGUUGUAAAGCACUUUUGUCCGGAAAGAAAUCCUUGGCCCUAAGACGGUCGGGGGAUGACGGGACCGGAAGAAUAAGCACCGGCUAACUACGU